CCUACGGGUGGCUGCAGUGAGGAAUAUUGGUCAAUGGACGAGAGUCUGAACCAGCCAAGCCGCGUGAAGGAUGACGGCCCUAUGGAUUGUAAACCUCUUUUAUAAGGGAAUAAAACGAGGCACGUGUCCCUUUUUGCAUGUACUUUAUGAAUAAGCAUCGGCUAACUCCGUGCCAGCAGCCGCGGUAAUACGGAGGAUCCGAGCGUUAUCCGGAUUUAUUGGGUUUAAAGGGAGCGUAGAAGGGUUGGUAAGUCAGUUGUGAAAUUGUGGGGCUCAACCGUAAAAUUGCAAUUGAUACUGGCAGUCUUGAGUACGGGAGAGGUAGGCGGAAUUCGUGGUGUAGCGGUGAAAUGCUUAGAUAUCGCGAAGAACUCCGAUUGCGAAGGCAGCUUACUAACCUGUGACUGACAUUGAUGCGCGAAAGUGUGGGUAUCAAACAGGAUUAGAUACCCUAGUAGUU
rnacentral:rRNA from 1 species